rnacentral:misc_RNA from 1 species
AAGUCGUAACAAGGUUUCCGUAGGUGAACCUGCGGAAGGAUCAUUACAACGUAUCCACGUAUCAAACUCGCGAACUGUCCCCUUUAGAGUAAACAAUUGUGGAUGAAGUUAAUGGCUGAUUGAUUCUCGCUGAUGGAGUUCACGGAUUUUUAUCUGAGAACUGAGAGUCUCUUGGUCGCUGGCCAAAGCGCUUGCGCUUCGACUGGGACUUCGUUUACUCUACUGCGGUUUUUACCAUCGGCGCCUGUUUUACCCAUUAUUAACCCUUUGAAAACUUUGAACUGAACUUGGAGAUCGGCUACGGCUAUCCCUUUGAUGGCUCCGGUCACGGGCAGCUUAACGUAGCCUGUUUUCCUCAUUACGAAACAAAAGAACAACUCUUAGCAACGGAUAUCUUGGUUCUC